UUAUGGGUCUCAGAUUAAAGCUCAAGUAUCUCACUCAAUCUCUCUCUAGAUUUUCCAUCCAUCAUUUCCAAGGACAAAAACAGCUGUAACCAAAAGGACCAAAAAUCCCCAAGAACUCUAGAGAGAGAAAGAGAGAGAAGGAGAUAAAACUUUACUCAUAAGAUUUCGAAGCUGCUACUAACGAAGUAAAAAAGCAGAAAUUUCUAGCGAAACUCUGCAAGGAGUUCGAGAAUCAGACGAGAAAUGCUGCUUAUUUUUGUAUAAAAUGCUCUAGAUCUUCCAAGAACGAAAAUCUGAAAACCCUAGACAAGUUUUUUUUUCUAGAAAUGGAGAGAUCUAGAUCGAAAAGGAACCACUAUUACGAUCAGGACUACGAAUCUCAAACCCUACCAAGGACCAAACAAAGGUAUCAUCAUCAUAAUAGUCAUUAUAACAACAGUAACAGUGGUGGUCACCAUCGUCGUGGAGGCGUCGGUGGCCGUUUAUCCAAAGCUCCGGAAGGUUCUUCUUCUACCGCAGCUACUAGUUAUCGUAUCCUAUGCGAUGAUAAUAGAGUUGGUGGCGUGAUUGGAAAAUCUGGUAGUAUAAUCAAGGCAAUUCGUCAAGAAACUGGCGCUUGGAUCAAUGUUCACGCACUCUUGCCUGGUGAUGAUGAGCGAAUCAUUGAGAUCUCCGACAACCGUCGACGGGACCCCGAUGGACGUUUCCUAUCUUUUUCUCCGGCGCAGGAGGCGUUGCUUAUGAUCCAUGAACGGAUUAUGGAGAGUGAUUCUGAAUUUGGGUUUAGAUAUAAUGGGAGUGCUGCUGAUGAUGAUGAGGAUUACGGUCCACGAGGUAGUGGUAAUCGUGUUGCUACCAGGCUUGUUGUGGCAAGGAUGCAUGUUGGGUGUUUGUUGGGGAAGGGUGGGAAGAUCAUCGAGCAAAUGAGGAUAGAGACAAAGACUCAAAUUAGGAUUCUUCCAAGAGAUCAUAAUCUACCCCGGUGUGUUUCAAUGUCGGACGAAAUUGUUCAGGUUGUGGGUGAUGUUAAUGCCGUGAAGAAAGCUAUAGCAAUUAUUUCUUCACGCUUGAAGGAGAGCCAGCUUCGUGACCGCAGUCAUUUCCAUGGACGGGUACAUUCACCAGAGCGGUUUUUCCUUUCUGACGAUGAUUUUGGUCCUCAUAUAAACAAUAUGCCUCAUCAGUCACCCAUAGAUGGGGCCACAUUAGGACCACGAUCUUCUGCAGGUAUGCCCACUUUGAGAAACAAUUCAUAUGGUUCACGUACAUCCAGUUAUGCAUUCGAGUCUGGAGCUGGUCCCAUAGCAGACCAUCAGUCACAGCCAUUCUCUGCUGAAGACCUUGUGUUUCGAAUUCUUUGCCCAAAUGACAAGGUAGAUAGUGUAAUGGGAGAAGCCAGUGGAAUUAUAGAAAUGAUACAGGAUGAUAUUGGUAUCGACAUUAGAGUUGAUGAUACCAUUCCUGGAUCAGAUGAGCAGAUAAUCAUUAUUACUUCUGAAGAGGGUCCAGAUGAUGAACUGUUUCCAGCUCAAGAAGCUUUAUUGCAUAUUCAGAGUCAGAUCGUAGAUCUUGGCCCCGACAAAGAUAACAUUGUAACUACAAGAUUACUUGUCCCAUCUAGUGAAAUUGGAUGUUUAGAGGGGCGAGAUGGAUUACUGUCUGAAAUGAGGAGAUUAACUGGUGCAAACAUACAUAUCCUUCCCAGAGAAGAACUUCCUGUAUGUGUACCAGGGGCUGAUGAGCUUAUACAGUUACAGAUUGUGGGGGAGAUAAAAGCAGCCCGAGAUGCUCUUGUUGAGGUAACAUCAAGACUUCGGAGUUACAUGUAUCGUGAGAUCUCUUUUUCAAAGGAUUUGUUACCACCUUCCAUCUCAGCAACAGCCCCAGCUGGAAGCGUGUUUGGAUUCGAGGCUGCUUCCCCUGUUAGAAUUCCAAGUCGUGAAAGUUUCCAGGGAAGUGACACUUCUCCAACCUAUCAGAAUGUGCAGACUGUAACAACUGCACGGCCAUCAAAGGAAGCUGGAGUUUCUUGUAGUGGAUCAGUCGACCGAAAUGAAGGUGAUUCUCGUGAAGAUGUGCCAAGUGCACCGAGCAGAAUUGCCGUGCCACUUGUCACUAGAAGCACACUGGAAGUUGUCAUCCCAGAGCAUGCCAUUCCAAAGCUUAUAAUGAGAUCAGGAAACAAACUUGCACAAAUUAGCGAGUUGUCAAAAGCAAGUGUUAGCCUUGUGGAAGAUAGACCGGAGCUGACUGAAAAGGCCAUUCAAAUAUCGGGUACUCCAGAACAGGUUGAGAGAGCCCAGAGCCUACUUCAAGGGUUUAUUCUGAGCACACAAGAAGAUGAUCCAUCAAGCUAAUAUGAGGAGAACAAAAAAGAGGGGGUGGGGGGUUGACAGAACAAGAUGAUGGAAAGUGUAUUCCUUUAGUGAGGUGCUUGCCUUCAGUGUAUUCCUUGAUUACUUGUAUAGAAAGUUCGAGCUUUGGGGCUCAGUGGUUCUACACAUGGUAUCAAAGGCAGGGAAGUCUAAGUGUUAUAUUCCUGAGAACUGCAACGGGGUCCGAUACUUCCUCCUCAGUGCCAUUUGAAGUGUUUUUGCAUGGUGGAUGUCACAUGCAAGGACUUGUGCGUACAGACCUGCACAUGGGGGUGUGUUGGGAUCUAGCUCCUCUGCUGUGCAAUAGAGGCGGCACUACAAAUCCAACACCGUUGAGUGUCUUGGCAUGGAACCCAACAUAUGGGUGCGUUCCUCGAGGCACUCCCAGGUGUUGGAUCUGAGCUGUCACCUUUAAUGUUGCCCCUUGAGCUUUUAGGCUAAGUGGUAAAGCACAAUUUAAGUGUUUUGGGACAAAAGAUAAUACCGUUCAAAGUGUUUUCACUUUCCCAAAUUGUAUGUCCAUUUUAAAUACCAAGUAUUUGUCCCCUAUUUAAUCAUCGACACAUUUAUUCCAUACAUUUU